rnacentral:lncRNA from 1 species
GGACAGACAAGUGAACUGUCGGGAUGUUCUGCAGGUCAUCAACAUGAUGAUCCUAAUGUUUAUGCCAAUCCAAAAAUCAAUAACAACUGCAUGCAAUAAUGAGAAUCAAAAGUGUACUAUAAUAGAUUUCAAUGUACAACGCAGUAGAGGAACAAUUGGUGGUUGUAAUUUGUAUCCCUCUCCAUUUCAACACUUAGCAGGCCGGUUUCCAAUGUCGUAACGCAGAGAGCAGUUUCCUUAUGAACUGAUAUGUACCAAUUUACGUCUUCAUCUUCGAGUAUUUCGGCCGGCGGUAUAUUCAUGUUGGGAACUUUGAACUUCAAUUCCAUUUUUGUUCGCGAUAGAGAACACCAAGUUUGUCAUUCAACCGUAACAAUAGCCCGGGUAGUGUAAUAUUGCUCGACACUAAAAUGGAAGUGGUUUUGUCCCUAGUCCACUUCCAUUCGUCAUUCACAUGAACGAACUUUCCCCCACGCGACACGAUGAAUCUCAAAUUAUUGUUCAUACCUGAAAUGUUG